rnacentral:rRNA from 1 species
AUACGUAGGGGGCAAGCGUUAUCCGGAUUUACUGGGUGUAAAGGGAGCGUAGACGGAAGGCCAAGUCUGAUGUGAAAGCCCGCGGCUCAACUGCGGGACUGCAUUGGAAACUGGUCAUCUGGAGUGCAGGAGGGGUAAGCGGAAUUCCUAGUGUAGCGGUGAAAUGCGUAGAUAUUAGGAGGAACACCGGUGGCGAAGGCGGCUUACUGGACUGUAACUGACGUUGAGGCUCGAAAGCGUGGGGAGCAAACAGGAUUAGAUACCCUGGUAGUCCACGCUGUAAACGAUGAAUACUAGGUGUCGGGGCCGUAGGCCUCGGUGCCGCAGUUAACGCAAUAAGUAUUCCACCUGGGGAGUACGGCCGCAAGGCUGAAACUUAAAGGAAUUGACGGGG